rnacentral:rRNA from 1 species
UACGGGGGGGGGCAAGCGUUGUUCGGAAUUACUGGGCGUAAAGGGCUGGUAGGCGGCCAACUAAGUCGGAUGUGAAAUCCCCCAGGCUUAACCUGGGAACUGCAUCCGAUACUGGUCGGCUUGAAUCCGGGAGAGGGAUGCAGAAUUCCAGGUGUAGCGGUGAAAUGCGUAGAUAUCUGGAGGAAUACCGGUGGCGAAGG